GCGAUGUGCGCCGGAAAGCGGCGAGAGGCAGCCGCAUGUGGUUUUGAAGGGAGCAGGCCGCGCAUGCGCGCUGGCAGCAGCACAAAAAUACAAUCGUUGGAGCCGCUGACCACCAGAUGGAGCAAAGCUUGUCCAAAACGUCAGUGGGGUGGAAGAAAGAGCCUAGCAGGGAGAACAUCGCAGAUGGCGAAGGAUGCGCACGGGCAAAACAUCGUAGGUGGAGAGCAGUGCUGAUGAAAAGUGCACCCCCAUUUGAACCCGUAGGGAGGGGCUACGGCGUUUUACAGACCGCAAAAGAGAUUAAGGAUUAGGAGGAGUAAGAAACAACGCCGGGGCACAGUUAUAAACUAGCUGAAUCUAUUAUGUCGAAGAAGAAAAAAAAAACCAUCUUUUUUAGUCGCUGUGCCUGUAGCAAAAUAUAAAUGUUGGAAGGAAAUGGUGGCUUGUGUUAAAAUGACACUGGAAACGUUUGUUAUAUUAAAUACAUAAAUGAUGUGAAUGUAACUAUUA